GAGGAGCGGCCUGGCCGCCAGGAGCGGAGGCUCCCGGCCCUGUGGGCUGGCAGCGAUGGCACGGGGAAGGCUGGGGCUGAGCCGUGGCACGGGGAAGGCUGGGGCUGAGCCGUGCUGGUGCCGCUGGCUUGGGUAGCACAGGUUGGGCCAGCCCGUCGUGGGACGACGUCUGCGUGGAGCCGUGGAAAGGCAGCAGCCGACUGCAGCAGCGAGGGCACCGAGUCCUUAAGGCUACUGAUAACAUUGGAAGCCUGCACAGAAGUGACUGCUUGAUGUGCUCGUCGGUGGAGGACACAAAACUUCCUUUGAACUCGAGAGCAGAGGAGAGCACCCAGCUGAUGUAUAGACUGGCAGAAUGGAGCAGCAGAAGAAUUAAGUCCCGUUUCUCACCAAAGAUAAGCAACAGAGCGAGCGGGGAAGCAACACAAGGCUCGCCGGCGAGCAAAAGCUCUCCUGGAACGGCGCAGACAGGCAGGGCGCUGACCUUUAGGAGGGAGAGGAAAAGCAUCAUUUUUUUCCAGCCCUCCAGUCACUGGAUGAAAGACGCUUUAAAGCUUCCAUCAGAGGGUGAUGCUGUCAGGGAUGGCUGAUUGAGGAUGUGUGAGGCACGGUGCUGCAGGCAAGUGCUGUGCUGCGGUGGGUACCGAGGCAGAUAGGGAAAAGCGUGGCCUCUUCCCUUCUGCAGCAAAGAAAGGGGCUUGCUGUGCCAGCUCGAGCUUACCUUUAAUGAACUUCCUAUUUUCCUUUUCACGUCACUGGGAUGCCUAACUCUUUUUUUUUUUUUUUAUUAAUGACGAAGUAAUUGGUUACAGCACAGGCUCUGUGCCCGUUAGCACAGUUGCUCCAAGCCAGUUAUACUUCCUGAUGCACCCUCUGCGUACAGGCAACGUGUUUGUUCCCUGAGUACAUGCGCUGUUUAAUAUCACACGUCUCCCUUUUGAAUUUUAAAGGGAAAACUAAUAAAGAAGAUCAUUGCAUCA
rnacentral:lncRNA from 1 species